rnacentral:tRNA from 1 species
UCCUCGAUAGCUCAAUGGUAGAGCACCCGGCUGUUAACCGGGGGGUUGCAGGUUCGAGUCCUGCUCGAGGAGCCA